UAUUUCCAAAUGAUGUGACAACACAACACCAAUCCCUUGUUUUCAUUAAGAGAAUGAUGGCUGUGGGAGUAUCAUGCAUUACGUAUCUGCGUGGGAUAUUUCCUGAAGAUGCCUAUAGAACACGAUACUUGGAAGGCAUGUGCGUAAAAAUUCUGCGUGAGGACAGUCGUUUUCCUGGAGCAUCCAAAGUCGUAAAAUGGAUGAUGGGCUGUUUUGAUGCUUUGGAAA